rnacentral:rRNA from 1 species
AUUGCAGAAUUCAGUGAAUCAUCGAUUCUUUGAACGCACCUUGCGCCCUUUGGCCAUUCCGAAGGGCAUGCCUGUUUGAGUAUCAUG